UAUUUUACGCGGUGGUGUUCCUCUCUCGACAGAAUCGGAGGUCUUCCGGCGAUAAGGUUCGUGGGUUUUGCGUAUCGUUUGUUGGGUACUCGCUGGGAUUGUUGUUGCUGUUGUAGAAUUGGAUAAUAGUGGGGAGUGCUGGAGCAAUGUGAUAUCGACUUUCUUGAUAAAACACAAGGGCUAGUUUAAUUGCAGAUAUUCAAUCAGCUCAAUCUUUAUCUUCUUCCUCAUACCAUUACUCAGAAACUACACAGAGAUUCUUCUUCUGCAAAAAGUCUAGAGGCUUCACGAACUCAGAUCCACUCUCCAUCUCCUUGUAU